rnacentral:lncRNA from 1 species
ACUUGUUAAGCAUACAAAGAAAGGAAAUAAAAAAUAAAAUUAAUAUUGAAAAGAUAACUUUUGAUACUUUGUAUUGAAUGCACGCAUUUCAUGGCAUAAUUUCUAUUUUUAAAAGUUUAACCAGUGCCCGGGGCACUGUUUAGCAUUUUUCUAUGCGGGAUAAAAUACGAUAGUGGUAGUGUAACUUACAUGUGACAAAUUAUGCUACACAUUCAUAGAACUCAUAACAAUCUAAAAAUAACAAUCAUAUAUAUUAAAUAAAUCAUACAUGAGACAAAUUAUGCUCCUGAUUCAUGAAACUCAUAACAAUCUCAAACUAUCAUAUACUAAAUAAAUCUUACAUGGAUAAAGUUAUUGAUUUAUAGAACCUAUAACAAUUUCAAAAUAGUUAUAAUAUAUAUUAAAUAAAUCAUACUAGUUAACUCUAAAAAUAUAGGCGUAACUCGCACGGAUCUCUUACUAAUUAAAAGAGAAGGUGUAAAACAAUCUCACAUGACUGAUAUCACAAUUACUCAACAUGUCUUUUUAUGUACAUAUAUAUACCUGCAAAAAUGAGUUGUUUGCAUAACUUGUUUCUCCAUCACCUCCAUUCAUGUGCACCUGCCCCAAGUUCAUUCUCACGUUUUAUUUCCCCCUUUCUCAAUUCUCUGUGUUUAAUAAGUAAUAACUGGUCUUAUGUUCGAGGGUGUGUGUGUGUGUAUAUAUAUAUUGACGUGUAGAAUUAAUAAAAAGUUUGAUU